rnacentral:lncRNA from 10 species
AUGAUCUCAGUCAUGUGCUUAAAAGCUCACUCUGGCUGCUGAGGGAAACAUGGGCUGCAGAGGGCCAGAGUCGAAGCAGGGAAAUGAGUUAGGAGGAGGUCACUGCUGCAGUACCCAGAGGUGGCGAUGGUAGCUUGGACCAGGGCAUGGCCGCAGAGGUGGAGGGAUGGAUUCCCGACGAGUUCUGGAGGUGGAGGUGACAAGAGGCCCUGACAGAUUGGUCGUGUGGGGGUCAAGAAAACUUUUAAGCUAUUUACAGAUUUUAACAAGUGAGUAAAUUAUAUUCCUAUGAACAAAAUCUGG